AGGAUGAACGCUGGCGGCGUGCCUAAAACAUGCAAGUCAUACGGGCUACCUUCGGGUAGCCAGUGGCAAACGGGUGAGUAACACGUGGGAACGCGCCUUUGGGUGGGGAAUAACGCUGAGAAAUCAGUGCUAAUACCGCAUAUGGUCUAACGACUAAAGCAGCAAUGCGCCCGGAGAGCGGCCCGCGACCGAUUAGCUAGUUGGUGGGGUAAUGGCCUACCAAGGCAGUGAUCGGUAGCUGGUCUGAGAGGAUGGUCAGCCACACUGGGACUGCGAACGGCCCAGACUCCUACGGGAGGCAGCAGUUAGGAAUUUUCGGCAAUGGGGGAAACCCUGAACGAGCAACGCCGCGUGCAGGAAGAGGUUUUCGGAUCGUAAACUGCUUUUCUCGGGGAAGAGAACGGACGGUACCCGAGGAAUCGAGCCCCGGCUAACUACGUGCCAGCAGCCGC
rnacentral:rRNA from 1 species